CAGUCCAGGACAGGCUGAGGAGUUUCCUGGGAGGUGCUGGUGUUCACCUGCCCUGCUCUGUUCUGAUUGGGUAAAACUUUGACUGUGGUUCUCUAUUGGCUGACAGAACUGUCAGUUUAGUAUCUAGACUUUAACAAGUUUUUUCUCCCUUUCGUUUUUUACAAAUGUCGGACCCCCACAGCAGAAAUGUCUUCUUAUCUUUAAUGUCUGUCUUCGUCUUGGCUGUUAAAAGAAAUGAAAGUUGUGUCUCAGACAAACUAAACAAUAGUUGUCGACCCCUGAGGAGCACCAGAGGGACCAGGCUCACCUUUAUAAAACUGGUCUUCGCCACUUUUCAAGAAAAACUUGGGAUUGAUAAAACUCUAACUUUAGGUGAAAAUGUGUGGACCCUCACAGGUCUGACCCUGACAGGUCUGACCCUGACAGAUCUGACCCUCACAGCUCUGACCCUGACAGAUCUGACCCUCACAGGUCUGACCCUCACAGGUCUGACCCUCACAGGUCUGACCCUCACAGGUCUGACCCUCACAGGUCUGACCCAGGUGUACGGUCAUUUUGGAGACAGGAAGCUGUGACACAGAUGGUGAAGUGAUGAAUUAGAGCCACACUGUGAUGAUCACUGUCAGAGAUUUAAUUUACCUUCAGAAUCAGACUCAGGAUCAACUUUAGCUUCUUAACAGUAAAAUUCAUGUUUCUGCUGCUGAGUUAGAAGAUCUUUGAAAUAAAAACACUUAAUAUUAAAAGUUCAACAUCUC